rnacentral:rRNA from 1 species
GAUGAACGCUGGCGGCGUGCCUAAUACAUGCAAGUCGAGCGAACAGAUGAGGAGCUUGCUCCUCUGACGUUAGCGGCGGACGGGUGAGUAACACGUGGAUAACCUACCUAUAAGACUGGGAUAACUUCGGGAAACCGGAGCUAAUACCGGAUAAUAUAUUGAACCGCAUGGUUCAAUAGUGAAAGACGGUUUUGCUGUCACUUAUAGAUGGAUCCGCGCCGCAUUAGCUAGUUGGUAAGGUAACGGCUUACCAAGGCAACGAUGCGUAGCCGACCUGAGAGGGUGAUCGGCCACACUGGAACUGGGACACGGUCCAGACUCCUACGGGAGGCAGCAGUAGGGAAUCUUCCGCAAUGGGCGAAAGCCUGACGGAGCAACGCCGCGUGAGUGAUGAAGGUCUUCGGAUCGUAAAACUCUGUUAUUAGGGAAGAACAAAUGUGUAAGUAACCAUGCACGUCUUGACGGUACCUAAUCAGAAAGCCACGGCUAACUACGUG